rnacentral:lncRNA from 1 species
UUUUUUUGCCCUUGCACCAGAGUAUGAAAUAGCUUCCAGGAGCUCCACCUAUAAGCUUAGAAGUGUCUGUAUGAUUGUAAUCACAUGGUGACAACACUCAGAAUCUAAAUUGGACUUCUGUUGUAUUCUCACCACUCAAUUUGUUUUUUAGCAGUUUAAUGGGUACAUUUUAGAGUCUUCCAUUUUGUGUGGAAUUAGAUCCUCCCCUUCAAAUGCUGUAAUUAACA